UACGUAGGUGGCAAGCGUUAUCCCGAAUUAUUGGGCGUAAAGAGCGCGCAGGUGGUUGAUUAAGUCUGAUGUGAAAGCCCACGGCUUAACCGUGGAGGGUCAUUGGAAACUGGUCGACUUGAGUGCAGAAGAGGGAAGUGGAAUUCCAUGUGUAGCGGUGAAAUGCGUAGAGAUAUGGAGGAACACCAGUGGCGAAGGCGGCUUCCUGGUCUGUAACUGACACUGAGGCGCGAAAGCGUGGGGAGCAAACAGGAUUAGAUA
rnacentral:rRNA from 1 species